rnacentral:rRNA from 1 species
GCCUGCAGCCAUACCACCUUGGGCUCUGAUCUAGUUCAGUAUCAUAAGACAAGAAAGGUCAGGCUUGGUCAGUACUCAAAUAGGACCCCUGCAAGGUAAACCCAGAUGCUGCAAGUC